AAGUCUUGAGUUGUAAAGAGAGGAGAGAAAGGAUCUGUAAGGGUUGUCUCCUGAUCCCGUCAAAAGGAGAGAAACUGUAAAAGGGCAGUUGGCCUUCGCCUAUUGAAGGAAGGCCCCUAGCUGACGUCGGUGACCUCGCCGGUGGAGGAAGCCAAAAGUGGAGUAGGUCAAGACUGACCGAACCACUCUAAAUCUCUGGUUUGCGUUUAUGUUGAGCACUUUAUCAUUACUACAAACCUCCUACAUAGCUACUGCUCUCUGCG
rnacentral:lncRNA from 1 species